AUACUUUAACUGGUGCGGGGGCCUCGUUGAUUGCCGAGGACAAGCCUCCGGGGCGAGGUGCAGGCAUUGCACUGCACUCGCGUUGACCCAUGCCACUACCCCAAACUAGGGCAGAUGGGGCAUGCAAAUCGC
rnacentral:snRNA from 1 species